rnacentral:rRNA from 1 species
UGGGGAAUUUUGGACAAUGGGCGCAAGCCUGAUCCAGCAGUGCCGCGUGCAGGAUGAAGGCCUUCGGGUUGUAAACUGCUUUUGUACGGAACGAAACGGCGAGCUCUAAUACAGUUUGCUAAUGACGGUACCGUAAGAAUAAGCACCGGCUAACUACGUGCCAGCAGCCGCGGUAAUACGUAGGGUGCAAGCGUUAAUCGGAAUUACUGGGCGUAAAGCGUGCGCAGGCGGUUAUGUAAGACAGAUGUGAAAUCCCCGGGCUUAACCUGGGAACUGCAUUUGUGACUGCAUAGCUAGAGUACGGUAGAGGGGGAUGGAAUUCCGCGUGUAGCAGUGAAAUGCGUAGAUAUGCGGAGGAACACCGAUGGCGAAGGCAAUCCCCUGGACCUGUACUGACGCUCAUGCACGAAAGCGUGGGGAGCAAACA